rnacentral:misc_RNA from 1 species
UCUUUCUUACGAAAGCAGUCUCGUCUGACACAUAUAACAGACAACGGGGGUUGCGCUCGUUAAUCCACUUAAGGAAACCAUUCACAUGACGAGCUGACGACAGCCGUGCAGCACCUGUCCAGCACCCUCGAAGGCUUCUCCGUUUCUGGAGCGUGCAGCUGGAUUUCAAGCCUUGGUGAGGUUCUUCGCUCAGAAUCGAAUUAAACCGCAUCAUCCACCGCUUGUGCAAAUUCCCGCCUAUUUCUUUGAGUUUUAAUCUUGCGAUCGUACUUCCCAGGCGACACACUUAACGCGUUGGCUUCGCCACUGGAAGGGUCGAUGCUCCCAAUAGCUAGUGUGUAUCGUUUAGGGCGUGGACUA